CGCGUGUACUGGUCCGGCCGGGCCUUUCCCUCUGUGGAACCCCAUGCCCUUCACUGGGUGUGGCGGGGAAACAGGACUUUUACUGUGAAAAAAUUAGAGUGCUCCAGGCAGGCCUAUGCUCGAAUACAUUAGCAUGGAAUAAUAGAAUAGGACGUGUGGUUCUAUUUUGUUGGUUUCUAGGACCGCCGUAAUGAUUAAUAGGGACAGUCGGGGGCAUCAGUAUUCAAUUGUCAGAGGUGAAAUUCUUGGAUUUAUUGAAGACUAACUACUGCGAAAGCAUUUGCCAAGGAUGUUUUCAUUAAUCAGGAACGAAAGUUAGGGGAUCGAAGACGAUCAGAUACCGUCGUAGUCUUAACCAUAAACUAUGCCGACUAGGGAUCGGACGGUGUUAUAUUUUGACCCGUUCGGCACCUUACGAGAAAUCAAAGUGCUUGGGCUCCAGGGGGAGUAUGGUCGCAAGGCUGAAACUUAAAGAAAUUGACGGAAGGGCACCACCAGGGGUGGAGCCUGCGGCUUAAUUUGACUCAACACGGGGAAACUCACCAGGUCCAGACACAAUGAGGAUUGACAGAUUGAGAGCUCUUUCUUGAUUUUGUGGGUGGUGGUGCAUGGGCCGUUCUUAGUUGGUGGAGUGAUUUGUCUGCUUAAUUGCGAUAACGAACGAGACCUUAACCUGCUAAAUAGCCCGUAUUGCUUUGGCAGUACGCUGGCUUCUUAGAGGGACUAUCGG
rnacentral:rRNA from 1 species